CACUAUUGAUCACUAUUUUUUAUGUGCCAUGUGUCUGGGCCACUGAUAACUAGUGAUGGGAUUGAGGAUCUGAGGAG